rnacentral:lncRNA from 1 species
ACAUGAUUGGAAGAGCAAAAGUGAGUUCCGAAGGAGUUGGAAGGGUUUAGAUAUCGAUCGAGCGAAAUCGAAUCGAAAAGGAUCAGAAAACAGCAUUUUGCAGGUGCUGUACCGGUACAAGAGUGAUGGCUGUACCGGUACAGUCAUUACGGAACAGUGCAGCACAGUGCUCCGGUGCUGUACCGGUACAAGGUGCUUGUACCGGUACAAACCCUGCGUAACCGAGGGUCACCCGCGCUCGGGUUUGGGCUGUUUGCCGGCCUUGUACCGGUACAAGAGCCCGUGUACCGGUACAAGGGGCCCGAAACUGCAGGGUGAGUUGCAGAUUUUGGAAAAACAGAGGGACUUAAUAGGAUAUUGUUACAACAUGUGAUGGGGGGUUAUUAGAGAGAGUAUUUCCUCUCUCUCUCUCUCUCCCACAGCCCUCUCUCUCCCUCUCUGUUCGUGCAAACCGGGAAAAGGAGAAAAGGAAGAAAAGAGAGAAGGAAAGGAAAGGAAAAGAGAAGAAGAAAAAGAGAAAGGAAAGGAGGAGAAGGAGAGGAUCAUCAUCUCCAUCUUCAUCUUCAUCUUCUUCCUCAUUUGGAGCUCUUUGAGAGGUAAGCUCCCAAGCCCUCUCAUGGUAGAUUUUUGUAGAAUGGGUUUUGAACCCUAGAUCUUUGGCUUUGAUCUACCUACAAGCUUUAGAAUUUUGUAAAGGCCAAGAACACAUGAAAUCCAUGGUGUUCUUCAAGAUGCUCUAAUGGUGGAUUUCUAGGGUUUGUUCUAGACACCCUAAGAACGGUUCAAAUGGUCCUAAAUGAGCUCUAAGAACUUGGACAAGCUCUCUUUUGCUUGUUUUAUAGAUCAAAUCUGGAGUAUUGAGCAUAUGCCAUGUUAGGGCAUCCCAAAGAGGGGUUUUGCUCAUAUAGGGUUUUGAUCUAUUUUGACCAUGUGGAAACCUAAUUGAUAGGUAACGAAACACGUUGGUGAAGUCGGUUCGGCAAUCCGACGAGCCGUUUUAAAGAUAUCGAAGAAACGGACGCUUGGAGCUUCGUUACCGCCUGGAGGGCCGAGGCGGCGUCCAUAAAUCGUGAAAUCGGGUCCCGAGCACCGUAACGGCAAGGCAAAGAUCGUUAGCACGUGAAACGGCGAAGCGGCGCGCUCUUGAAAAGCAAUUGUGAGAUCGGGCCCAAACGGGUGCCGAGUGCCGCGGGAGGCCGAUUGCCGCGGGAGGCCGAUUGCAAGUGUCGACAAGCAAUCGGAAUGCGAAUCGAGGUGGGUUGUGCUUACCGAAGCGACUAGGUCGCCCUUUAUGUCUUAGCAAUGUAUCUCAUGUUGAUGCAUGUGCAUGUAGACAAGACUAAAUGAUGCAAUAAUAAAUAUGCAUAAGUAAAGGCUAAGUAAAGUAAAGAAUGCAUGAUAAAUGAUAAUGCAUAGAGUAAAUGCAAGUAAAGUAAAGAAUGCAUGAUAAUGAC